CCAGAGCUGUGCUUCUUCAGAAGUCUUCACCAGGUGCUUGCCACAGGUUCUGGGACCUGUGCCAUUUACUCCCAUGCAAAAUGAAGCUCUAAGAUCCAGAACAUGCAUCUUUUGAGAGGACCCUAUCACCAGAAAGAUCUCAAAAAAUGACAAGAGUUAUCUUGCUGUCUUCUGUGAGAGAGUAGAGGCCAUGCCUGUGUAAAAUGUCACGUUCCUGAGCACCAAUCCGCUUCAGAGAAGGUCAUUGAAGAAUCUCUAUAUGGAGAUUGCUUUAAAUGUUGCAAAUCUAGCCAUUUGGGCAAGAAACUGCUCUUGCCUUGACUGCUGACAAUAUGCUGUUCACAUUGGGCAAGAAGGACACAAAAGGUGAUUGCCUAGCUUUGCCAAGACAAGUGAGACCAGAAGAGGAGUGUCCAGCCUCAGCUCUGGCUCAGCCACAGUGGGUGCCUGUCCUCCAUUGAACGCAGAUUUGAACACUGUGUAGUUUCUUCUCUUCCUGGACAUCAGCAUAUACCAUUUCCUUUGCAUUUCUUUGGCCCUUCUCUAGGAAACUACUCUUGUUAUGAUUUCACUCAUCCAUAGCAGAACAAGGGCUGGAGAAUGCACUAGCUAAAUUGUUAAUGAAAACGGUAUUUGAUGAUGCAGAAACCCCAGUUCUCUGCCAGUUAGAACCAUUUUGAAGUAGGGCUGUAGGAACAGGAUGGGUGGAUUUAUCUCUGUGUCCUAUGAUGGAGAUGAACUGGGAGGUCAAGAUGGUAUGGACAAUAUUUGGAGGAAGAUGAGACUCUAAAUUUCAAAGUCAAUCUUUAGACAUUUAUUAGAUAAAUAGGGCAUGGAAGGCAAGUGACUUAGGUGGACUGU